GGAGAAAAACGUGCUUAGUGACCUGGAAACUAACUAAACAUAUCGAACUCGAAGAGAUUCUGAUGACGACUCAAUUAACUUUACCCUUAAGACAUUUUGAAAAGGAAAGACUUUUGUCAGACCUGGGCUUCCAGAGUUUUAAUAGAAAACUGGGGACUUCCUGGAUAAGUCAAGCCAAAAAUUUUUUUCUGGGUUUGAAAGAUUAGGCAAUAGAUUCAGUUCUCUGCUUCAUGUCAUCAAGAUCACUUGACACUACUCUGUGCUAACAGAAGAGAUGUUGGGAUUUGAGAUUCAGGUAUCCAAACGUUGCCUUUGUUAAAGGCUAGAGGCUUGUCAUUUGAAACUAGCAAAUAAGUCCGGAUCCAUGCAAAAUAGACCCUAAUUAAAAAUCUGCCUUAAUUCUGUACUUAAGAAUCAACUUCUCUUAAAGGAUGCAUUUUUUUUCCUUAAUGCAAUGAGGAUGUUCACAGGUAGUCAGUUCCUUCUUUAGUGCUAGCAGGCUUCGGCAGGUUUAAACCCCACUCCACAAUCCUGAACCCUCCUUCAUUUCACUAAGAUUUGAUCUAAUGAGAAAUGAAACAUCCCAAAGUGUGUACUCACAUUCUGGAUAGCAUGAGAUAGCAGUCUUAGAAUAUGCUUGUGUGUGAUUCUCCAGGCAAGAAUACUGAAGUGGAAUACUGGAGUGGAUUGCCAUGCCCUCCUCUAAGGGAUCUUCCCGACCCAGGGAUCAUCAAACCUGCAUCUCUCUUGUCUCCUGCAUUGGCAGAGAAAAUGAAAGCAUGAAAUUGUCUUUUCCUGGAUGAGUCACUGUGGGAAAGUCCGUUCAGCAGUGUUCGUCCACUUGGUUGAGACACAGCAGUGGGAGGACCGUGGGUCUUGUUCAUUUUUCACAAUGCAGUUACGGAUCCUCGUACGUGCAGGUGAACCGUGUGGGGUCUUCAUGUGUGCUCAGGACUAAAACGGCGAAUCCUGGAGCUGGUUACCCGUCUGGGAAUUGGAGCUUCAUGGGUUUUUGCUUUACUGGGGCUGAAUAAAUCCCAAGUGCCCCCCUAUAAUAGUUGGACUUUGGAAAUGAGUGUAAAUUUGAGUGAUUCUGAUCCAGUCUCUUGGUGACCCCAAGGACUAUAGCCCGCUAGGCUCCUCUGUCCAUGGGAUGCUCCAGGCAGGACUACUGGAGUGGGUUGCCGUGCCCUCCUUCACGGCAUCUUCCCAAACUAGGGAUUGAACUCGCAUCUCUUAUGUCUUCUGCAUUGGCAGGCAGGUUCUUUACCAAUAGCGCCAUCUGGGAAACCCAAAGAAUGGGAGGGCUAUGGGCUAAACCUCACUCUCCCCAGAUUUUCUGGACUUUGGGAGAAGUUUGCCCCGCUUUGGGACCUCAGUGUCCUCAACUGGAAGUAAUGGGUCUGGAUUAAUUGAUGUCUGCUGUUCAUGGUCUGAGAGUUUGUGGUUUGGGAAAGCACUUCCUCAGCUUACUGGACUAAGAGGUGGGUUAGCAAGUCAAUACAGCAUCCUGCAUUUACCCUGCCAACCCCUUCUUUCUGCCUGGCUCUUUAUUGUUUUGUUUGUUGUAUCUGAAGAGGGAAGGGAUAAGAGGAUAACUGCUAUUUGAUUGGAGACAAAGAAGUUACAAAGGCUCAGCUCUCCCCUCCAGUUCCACUCCACACAAAGGGAUAGGGUUCUUUACGGUAAGGAGUGAUUGCUACCCAGACCAGAAACCAAAAAGUCCCCUUUGUGCAAGUCCAGUUCUGUGAUUUCAAAGGUGCUAGAUGAAGAAAGCAUAGUUUUCAAAGACCAAAGACUACAAAAAUUCUUUGUUGCAUAGACUAUAUCUUUGCCACGGCAGCUGUUGGCAGUUACGCUGGUUUGUAUAGAUAAAAUCUUAGAUAAAGUGCCUGUUCACACCUAGUCAUUUACAAAUGAGUCAAUAUUUGGCUUAAAAGACCAAAACUCAGACUCAUGAUGAUCAGAGUCCACUUCUGCAUUUUGUCAAUUUUCAUGUCUUAAAAAUGAUUGGAGGCCUCCUCUGAAGACUCCUGAAUUUGACAUACCUUUUACAGGAAGUCCUACACAGAAAGAAACCAGCAAGGGCAUGGACCAGUCAUGUGAGUGUGGAUACCUUCUCUCCUUUGGCUACAAAUGCUCCCUGAAUCCUAAUCCAAGAAGACCUGUGCAAAAGAGAAAAGAUCAAAGGAAGGAACAGGGUGUUCACUUGGCUUACAGAUAAACCCAGCCAUGCUGCGAUGGCCAGCUACACAGUGGGAUAAAUGGGAUCCCUUAGCUCUGUUCUUAAACUUUAUAAGGAGGUGGGGGUGCAGGCCUAUGACCAAGGAGGUCCUGGUAAGGGAUGUGGAACGAACAAGCUACCACCAACCGGAAGAGUUCAGGAAAGAUCAAAAGGAGAGUGGAAACACCAGCCUGCAUAUGCUCCCAACCUCCCAGAAUCCUCCUCGCUGGAAUCCAUCUUGGCUGAGUGAUGCAUGCGCUGCCAGGAAGGACCCUGAUGGGCCAGCCAGAAGCAAUUCAGAAACGAGCCCCAUCACCAUAAAACCUGAGACAGCAAAUCACGUGGCAGAGUGGUUCUCCUGGGUUCCCUUACCUUCCUGUUCUCCACCUAGCUGUCCUUCCCAAUAAAGUCUCCUGUUUUGUCCUCAA